rnacentral:rRNA from 1 species
UAGUCUCGCACAGAUGCAUAUCAAUAAGCGGAGGAAAAGAAACUAACAAGGAUUCCCUCAGUAACGGCGAGUGAAGCGGGAAGAGCUCAAAUUUGAAAUCUUGAAAGGUCACCUUUCACGAAUUGUAGUUUAAAGAAGUGUUUUCUGUUACGAUCGUAAUAUAAGUUCUUUGGAAUAGGACAUCAUAGAGGGUGAGAAUCCCGUAUAUUGACCAUUGGAUUUGUCAGCUUUGUGAUACACUUUCAAAGAGUCGGAUUGUUUGGGAAUGCAGUCCAAAAUGGGAUGGUAAAUUUCAUUCUAAGGCUAAAUAUUGGCGAGAGACCGAUAGCGAACAAGUACCGUGAGGGAAAGAUGAAAAGAACUUUGAAAAGAGAGUUAAAUAGUACGUGAAAUUGUCAAAAGGGAAGCGUUUAACACCAGUGUUGUUUUCUGAAAAUCAACCUCUGUUAGCUUUAUGCAUGUUUGUUUAGACCUAAUCAGCUAUCUUGCAUGUUCUAUUGUUUGCAGUGGUGCACUUUUCAGUUUACAGGUCAACAUCAGUUUUUUUUACCGUAAAAAAGUUAAAGAAAGGUAGCUCAUGGCUCCGGUCGUGAGUGUUAUAGUCUUUUUCCUAUGCGGUAGGAGAGACUGAGGUCUGCAGUGUAGGCUAUUUGGCUAGAUACUCAGGUGCUAUGUGAUACCAUUUCAUAAACAACUUGUUGAUUAUGUUUUGUCUAUUGCAUACUCGCUUGUACUAUCAUACCUACGCUUAGGAUGUUGAAGAUGUAGCACAUCAU